UAGGGAAUAUUGCAUAAUGGGCGAAAGCCUGAUGCAGCAACGCCGCGUGUGCGAUGAAGGCCUUCGGGUUGUAAAGCACUUUUGAUCGGGAAGAGGAAGGACGGUACCGGUCGAAUAAGCCUCGGCUAACUACGUGCCAGCAGCCGCGGUAAAACGUAGGAGGCGAGCGUUAUCCGGAUUUACUGGGUGUAAAGCGCGUGCAGGCGGUCUACUAAGUUGGAUGUGAAAAGCUCCUGGCUCAACUAGGAGAGGUCGUACAAGACUGGUAGACUGGAGAGCAGUAGAGGAAGGUGGAAUUCCGGGUGUAGUGGUGAAAUGCGUAGAUAUUCGGAGGAACACCAGUGGCGAAAGCGGCCUUCUGGACUGCAUCUGACGCUCAGACGCGAAAGCUAGGGUAGCAAACGGGAUUAGAGACCCCGGUAGUCCCUAGCCGUAAAACGAUGUGAACUUGGCGCUGGCUGGGUAAAAACCGAUCAGUGCCGGAGCAAA
rnacentral:rRNA from 1 species